GAAUAAAAUUGUGAAAAAAAGAAAUAAAUUUAGUUGAAAAUUUUGCAAAAAAAAUUGAAUAAGUGAAGUUAAAUCUGAAUAAAAAGAAAAUUACAAGUAUAAGUGAAUGCAAGAAAAUUAAAAUUUUUUUGCAAACUAUUCACAACGAAGUAGCAACAAAAAGAAAACAA